GACAGAGGGUGCAAACGUUGUCCGGAUUUACUGGGCGUAAAGAGCGCGCAGGCGGUCGUUCAAGUCGCGUGUGAAAGCCCCCGGCUCAACUGGGGAGGGUCACGCGAUACUGAUCGACUCGAAGGCAGGAGAGGGAAGUGGAAUUCCCGGUGUAGUGGUGAAAUGCGUAGAUAUCGUAAGGAAGACCAGUGGCGAAGGCGAGUCUCUGGACAGUUACCGACGCUGAGGCACGAAGGUCAGGGGAGCAAACGGG
rnacentral:rRNA from 1 species